rnacentral:rRNA from 1 species
UACGAGGGGGGCAAGCGUUGUUCGGAAUUAUUGGGCGUAAAGGGUGCGUAGGCGGUUUUGUAAGUCUUGUGUGAAAUCUUCAGGCUCAACUUGAAGACUGCACGAGAAACUGCAGGGCUUGAGUGUGGGAGAGGAGAGUGGAAUUCCUGGUGUAGCGGUGAAAUGCGCAGAUAUCAGGAAGAACACCCGUGGCGAAGGCGGCUCUCUGGGACGGUACUGACGCUGAGACGCGAAAGCGUGGGGAGCGAACAGG